ACGCUGGCGGUAGGCCUAACACAUGCAAGUCGAACGGCAGCACAGUAAGAGCUUGCUCUUAUGGGUGGCGAGUGGCGGACGGGUGAGGAAUACAUCGGAAUCUACCUUUUCGUGGGGGAUAACGUAGGGAAACUUACGCUAAUACCGCAUACGACCUUCGGGUGAAAGCAGGGGACCUUCGGGCCUUGCGCGGAUAGAUGAGCCGAUGUCGGAUUAGCUAGUUGGCGGGGUAAAGGCCCACCAAGGCGACGAUCCGUAGCUGGUCUGAGAGGAUGAUCAGCCACACUGGAACUGAGACACGGUCCAGACUCCUACGGGAGGCAGCAGUGGGGAAUAUUGGACAAUGGGCGCAAGCCUGAUCCAGCCAUACCGCGUGGGUGAAGAAGGCCUUCGGGUUGUAAAGCCCUUUUGUUGGGAAAGAAAAGCAAUCGAUUAAUACUCGGUUGUUCUGACGGUACCCAAAGAAUAAGCACCGGCUAACUUCGUGCCAGCAGCCGCGGUAAUACGAAGGGUGCAAGCGUUACUCGGAAGGACUGGGCGUAAAGCGUGCGUAGGUGGUUGUUUAAGUCUGUUGUGAAAGCCCUGGGCUCAACCUGGGAAUAGCAGUGGAUACUGGGCAACUAGAGUGUGGUAGAGGGUAGUGGAAUUCCCGGUGUAGCAGUGAAAUGCGUAGAGAUCGGGAGGAACAUCCAUGGCGAAGGCAGCUACCUGGACCAACACUGACACUGAGGCACGAAAGCGUGGGGAGCAAAC
rnacentral:rRNA from 1 species